AUGGCAGGCUGCAGGUGCCGAGCCCUGCCCCGCGGGAAGGCAGCUAAGGCCCUGCGAGAGAUUGAGCACAGCAGCUGCUGGCCCAGGUGCUAAGCCCCUCACUGCCCUGGGCCGGUGGGGCCCGCCGGCGGCUCCGAGUGCGGGGUCCGCCGAGCCCACGCCCACCCGGAACUCGCGCUGGCCCGUAAGCACCGCGCGCAGCCCCGGUUCUCGCUGGCGCCUCUCCCUCCACAACUCCCCGCAAGCUGAGGGAGCCGGCUUCGGCCUUGGCCAGCCCAGAAAAGGGAUCCCACAGUGCAGCGGCGGGCUGAAGGGCUCCUCAAGUGCCGCCAAAGUGGGAGCCCAGGCAGAGGAGGCGCCGAGAGCGAGCGAAGGCUGUGAGGACUGCCAGCAGGCUGUCACCUCUCACCAGGUUGGCAGAAAAAGAAAACAUUAGCAGCCAAAUUAGCCAGUCUGCCUGUGGAAUGAAGGCUCCAGUUUUUGACCUCUAAUGAAAGAAGAAAGAAUACUCAUUGAGGUUUCAGCUGCUUGGGGCCAUUUAGGCAUGGAUUUUCUUCUGCCUCUGCCACCUGGAGACAGGAAGACCAACCCCUCCUGCCCUCCUCCUCCCUAGCCUAGCCAAUGUGAAGAUGACAAGAAUGAAGACGUUUAUGAUGAUCCACUUCCACUUGAUGAACAAGAUGGGGUCAGCUAUGUAGACCAGGCUGGUCUCAAAUUCCUAGUGCCAAGCGAUCCUCCUAUCUUGGCCUCCCAAAGUGCUGGGAUUACAGGCAUGAGCAACAGCACCCAGCCUAGUCAUAAGAAUAAUGGAUUUUAAACAAGGUCUGUUGCAGUUUACUGGAAGUCCACUCCAGACCCUGAUUGCCUGGGUAUCACCAGUGGAGGCUGCAGAACAACAAAGAUUCCUGCCUGCUUCUUCCUCUGGAAGCUUUGUGUCUGGAAUUGAAUCCAAGUUCAAGGGGAAAAGUCAAGGACUAGAAUCACAGGUCAUAGCAUCAUUCAGUUAAGCAGGAAACUAAGAUAAGCAGUGUUCCAUCAUAAGUCUUACUCAGGGAAAGUAACUUUAUCAUCUGCAGUGCACAAGACCAGAAGAAUGACCGAUCUUUACCCCUCACCUCAUUAUAACACUAAAACCUCUGCCAAGGGGGUUCUUAUCUGCCAUUUUCUGCUCAUGUGAUGUAUGUGUUAGCAUGAUCCCUUACUACACCUGAGCAUCCUGCACUCCACCCCAUACAUGUAGUGAUGCUCACCUACUUCUUGAAUUAUUAAUGUCACCUCCUUAAGACACUGCAAUGCACUCCCCUCUGGGAGCCGGCUGGAGAAAUUUUGCUCCAGUACUGUCUCCCUUGUGUUCCAGCAUAACCCCCUAAUAAAGCUUUGUCUGGGAA
rnacentral:lncRNA from 10 species